AAAUGCCCAAGAAAGAGCAAGUACAAGUACAAAAUGGCAAAACUUGUUAAAAAUAUAGGUAGGGUGGAUACAAAAUUCUUAAAAGAAUAUGACACACAUUAUUAUGUAAUGUUGAUAAGUUCAGACACAAUUUCAAUACCAUCAUCAACCUUUAUGUCCACUAUGACAAUGUGUUUCUCUUUAUCAAGGACAACCUACAGGAAAACAACAUUUAGUUAUAAAAUAAUUUAAUCAAGAGAAACAAUUUGAUCUUUUAGACAAAUUAUUUUUCAAAAUUAUAACACUGAGCUACAAUUUUUCUUAGGUAUUUGCUCAGUGUUACACAACAUUUAACAUACUUAUUUAGCAUAAGCUUCAGAAAUUUAAGCAUCCAAUUUAAGAAGGGUGAGAAACAACAAGGGACCCUAAUGAAAUUAAGAAAGCAUGUAAAGAUUUGCCCCCUUAGAUUUUUGGCCACUUUUGCACUGCUCCACAUACCAUUCAUCCCAGGCCAUCUUCUGCACAUCUUUCUCCAUUUUUUUAAAUUGCACCAUCCACCAUAGUCAACUACUUGCCUUUAUUGCCUUUUUUUUUUCUUUCCUGCCUUUGAACUCAACUAACUUUCACUCUAAAGUAUACUUAUAAAAGCCCUUCCUCUUUUCCUGUAUUACUAUUACUAUUAUUACUUCUCCUUAAAACCCCAUCCUUUCCCCAUUCCAAAUUAAAUUCACAUCGCAUCUACAAUAUAGUAUUAAGCUCAAAAUUAAAACCCCAUCCCAACCCGUAACAGAUUUUCACAGCCACAAAAUUCACAUACAAAAAACCAAAAAAAACACGGGCCAAAUUUAGAGGCACAAAAACCCUAAUCAAAUGAAGGAAAAAAAUAACAGGAAUACAAAUCACAAGUUCAUGGGGAGAAAUGAACACCAACAUUGUUCAAAUUUAAUAAACUAAAAAAAAGGUGAAACCUUACAAAAAAAAUAAACACAGAACCCUUUCCCAGUGAGUGAAAACCAACGAAGGGCCAAGGAUGACAAUGGGGUAACGAUGACGCGCGACGAGAGUGAGAGGAAGACGGAUGGUGAGGCCAUGAGAAAUGAAACUAAGAGCACACAAGGCAAAGAUCCUUCUCCCACUCUCCUUUAAGUUUGCUCUCUCUCUCCUUCCCUCUCCAAAGAGUUCCUCUUUCUCGACGGUGCUGCCCUCUUUCCCCUUCCUUCUGUUUCUUCGCUGACCCUAUGUUAUUUUAGAGAAUUUGAAGGUCUUAAUUUUUUUAAUAAAACUCCCAG
rnacentral:lncRNA from 1 species